CUUGCUGGUUGCUGCCACCUCCUGGGGACUGGCUCAGUGGCCGUGUGGGGCCUUUCCUGCAUGGACAUCAUCCCAGAGAAAAGGAGAGGCUUUCUGCCAGCACGAGGAAAGGAGCUUUUCCCCACUGGACACCAUGAUCUCUCCUCCUGAGCCUGUUCCCUUACCAAGUGCAAUGCUCCUAGUGUGCUAGAUAAGCUGCCUCUACGUCCAGGUAGGAAGUGGUGAAGCCUUACGCUGCCACAAUACAGGAUUUUCUCCUCCUAUCUAUGCACUACCUGACCUUGCUGGGAGGCACAGGUGGUAGCAACUCCUUCUGAACUGGAGCCUCUGGGCAAGAACUGAGCCUCCGGUGCUGCUGAUAUUGUCGUGCACUUCUGGAAGUUGCUCAAGGAACCUCUGAGGGGAAAAAAAAAUGCCAUGAAUGAUUCAUAGAUGCAAGGGGGGAAAAAGACGAAGAGAGAGAGGGAGAGAAAGAGAGAUUAAGAGAGAGGAGCUUCAAAGUGACUGGAGCCGAUUUGAAGUCCUGAGCGUUCCUGUGCUGGGCAGGCCAGCAAUUCACCAGAGAGACCCCGUCAAGCUCCCCCCAUCCUCCGCCCCGGCCUCAUCCCUGCUGCCGCUGCCUCCACCGCCAACGCAGCCUCCCAGUUGCAGGUUCAAAGUUCAGCAGCAUCUAAUGAUGGGAAGGCCUCCCAGACCCUCUAAGGAAAGCUUCAGUGCUGAGCUUUUCUAGGAGCCCACAUCCUAGCAGACAUCUGAACAGGUAUUGAAACCUCUAAUAAAUAGGUGCACAGUAAGGGCUUGAUGUCUAUU
rnacentral:lncRNA from 1 species